UACAGAGACUGCAAGCGUUGUUCGGAUUCAUUGGGCGUAAAGGGUCCGUAGGCGGUCGGUUAAGUCGGAUGUGAAAUCUCGUGGCCUAACCACGAGCGGUCAUUCGAAACUAAUCGGCUAGAGGGCUGGAGAGGAGACUGGAAUUACGGUGUAGCGGUGAAAUGCGUAGAUAUCGUAAGGAAGACCAGUGGCGAAGGCGGGUCUCUGGACAGUUCCUGACGCUGAGGCACGAAGGCCAGGGGGAGCAAACGGG
rnacentral:rRNA from 1 species